GGGGCCGGGCUGCUGGGUCCGAGCUCUGGGCACGAUGUCCUCCCUGACGCCGCCAGGACAGCGCCUGGCCCAGGCCUGGGCCUGGUGAACGCGGGUUUCUUCCUCUGAGGUACUGUUCCACGCACUUGACACCAAUCCACCCAUUUCACCUGCAUGAUCACCCUGCCUUUGCAUGAGUUGCCGGUGUGGACAGAGCAGGGACACAGUGAGACAGCGGAUUCCAGCUUUGCUCUUACCUAGAACACACUGCCUCUCACCAGGAAUCGUCCUUCCAUUUUAUGCAGUUAUCCCAGACAAUGAUGCACAAGCUUUGGGAAAAAAACCCCACAAGUCCAAAGGUGUACUUCAUAAUAAAGGCAAGUUAUCUGUC
rnacentral:lncRNA from 1 species